rnacentral:rRNA from 1 species
CAGCAGCCGCGGUAAUACGUAGGUCCCGAGCGUUGUCCGGAUUUAUUGGGCGUAAAGCGAGCGCAGGCGGUUAGAUAAGUCUGAAGUUAAAGGCUGUGGCUUAACCAUAGUACGCUUCGGAAACUGUUUAACUUGAGUGCAAGAGGGGAGAGUGGAAUUCCAUGUGUAGCGGUGAAAUGCGUAGAUAUAUGGAGGAACACCGGUGGCGAAAGCGGCUCCCUGGCUUGUAACUGACGCUGAGGCUCGAAAGCGUGGGGAGCAAACAGGAUUAGAUACCCCGGUAGUCCCUGUCUCUUAUACA